AAGUAUCUACUCUGCUAAAUUGUGAUAUGACGCCUACAAUUACUACUAGAAACGCUACCAAAACAACAGAUUUAGUGCAAGGCAAAAUUUAAGAGAAUCAAAAUGAAUGUCAAUUGUUGCUGAUUCUUAAUCAAAGCGUGGAUCACUUGAGAAGGGUAACCUACACAAACACAAAGAUGAGUGCCCACGUUGACAGACAGCCUUCAUCCUCCAUUCUGUUCCUUAUAUACCGUUUCUGACAUUUUGAUCAAAUCUGACAUCUCCCUUUGCAAUCACCACUUUAUUGCUAUAAUCAACCGUACAUUCUUCCAACCCUGCAAAAGUUCGUGAAAUACUACCACAUUACAGACCUAUACUAACUCGACUAGUACAGGUUUAAACCUUGACAUGCGAUCUUUCAAUCAAUUUGUUACUAUUUCUGAGAAGUUCUCACCAUUGAUCUUUGAAAUUACUUGAAAAACUCUCCAUCUGCAAAUUGCACAUCCAAGAUUCACCUUCAAUACUACCACCUGAAACUGCUUCAAGUAAUGCCAAUUUAAGCAGAAGAUAUCAAACAUUUCAGAAGAAUUGGAUUACUUUCCAACUUUAUCAAGAAAAAAAACAGAAAAGAAGUCAUGUUCUAAAUAUGUGGAAGCACGAAACCAGUAGCUCUAACUCUAGCAAGUGAGUUGAGUUUCUGGACUUACCGAGGGGACUGUUAGAUUUGCAACAUGUAAAAGAACCCGCUUAUCGAGCCUUUCCAUCCAAGCAUAUAGAAGAAAUUUUGUAAUUAAUGAUGACAAAGUAAAUUCUGCUUAUGUACCGAAAACUUAAUCGGUACACAGACCAACUUCCUUUAUCCUCUCCAAUUCACCAUCGUAAAUUAAAGCAAGGCCUACAACUAUGUAGUAUUUUUUUUGGGAGCACUCUUGGAUGUUAGUCAAUAAUGCCUCAACAACUGUGGAUUAUAUAUCACGAUGGCCUUCAAACCUGAGACACUGCGAAGCAAUAUAUGUAGUACCAGGGGUGUGAAUGGUUUGGCCGGUCGCAUGUUACUGACCACCAAGAAAGAUUCGCCUCCCAAAAC
rnacentral:lncRNA from 1 species